rnacentral:rRNA from 1 species
CAGCCGCCGCGGGAAUACGGAGGGGGCUAGCGCUGUUCGGAAUUACUGGGCGUAAAGCGCACGUAGGCGGCUUGGUAAGUUAGAGGUGAAAGCCCGGAGCUCAACUCCGGAAUUGCCUUUAAGACUGCCGAGCUAGUAGGUGAGAGAGGUAAGUGGAAUUCCGAGUGUAGAGGUGAAAUUCGUAGAUAUUCGGAAGAACACCAGUGGCGAAGGCGGCUUACUGGCUCAUUCUAGACGCUGAGGUGCGAAAGCGUGGGGAGCAAACAGGAUUAGAGACCCGCGUAGUCCCUGUCUCUUAUAC